AAGAGACACAUGAUGGAGCAAAGACUGUUGUGGAAGGAACAGAAUUCUGAAGCUUGCAACACAAACUGGAAAGACAGCUCAAGUCCUUUCAGACAAUGAACAACAGUGGAGAGGACUGUCUCCACAAAAUGAGUCAGGAGGGGCAGUUUUGCCACCAGAGAAGAAUUCCUCUUCACCAGCUGUGGUAUCAUUUAACAAUGACAGCUCUCYGGUCUGCUUCUUAUAACUUCUUCACCCAGAAAUUGGCCACCUCUGCCUGYUCGCCAAAUCAGUAUGAAACAAUUUUAUCGUCUGAAAAGAAUCCUGGAUUCCUUCUGUUACCUGUUGAGCAGAUCCAGCAAAGCAGCAGCAAACUAUCAUAGCAUCCUUCUGCUGGAGAGUUCACCAGGGCAUCACACACCAGAGACUAGAGCAAAUCUCAACAUCAUCCAUGGAAUACAGCCUUCCUUCUGCUGGAGAAUGAUCUAAAAUUGUGUUUCCCUGCAAACAGGAUAGAAAACAGCAAGAUUUCUGAAAUGGUUCAGAAUAUAAACUAAGGGUGACUUCUAAUGGAUGAACCUGGGACUUGAGCCUUCAGUGAAAAGUAGUUUCACCAGAGAAGCUUUGCCUUUCCGUCUGUUCCUUGGAUUUAGAUUUCUAAUGUUUCAUUGUGUUAGUAUCAACAUACAGCGCUACGUCUGGUGUAGGCAUUAAAAUGUCUGGGUGUGCAGGUUCCAUAAUCCUACAGUUGGCUUCAUCUUUCAUAGGCUGACUGUAAUACUUGGUUUGCUAUAUUUUUAUUGUUACCACUGUAAUUGUAUUGCAAAGGCUCUUACUCCAGUUCUGGCUUGUUAAAUAAAUAGA
ensembl:lncRNA